rnacentral:rRNA from 1 species
CCUACGGGUGGCAGCAGUGAGGAAUAUUGGUCAAUGGGCGGGAGCCUGAACCAGCCAAGUCGCGUGAGGGAAGACGGUCCUAUGGAUUGUAAACCUCUUUAGGCGGGGAGCAAUGCCGGGCACGCGUGCCCGGAGGGAGAGUACCCGCAGAAUAAGCAUCGGCUAACUCCGUGCCAGCAGCCGCGGUAAUACGGAGGAUGCUAGCGUUGUCCGGAUUUAUGGGGUUUAAAGGGUGAGUAGGCGGAUUUUUAAGUCAGCGGUAAAAUGUCCGGGCUCAACCCGGGGCGGCCGUUGAGACUGGGGAUCUUGAGUGGGCGAGAAGUAUGCGGAAUGCGUGGUGUAGCGGGGAAAUGCAUAGAUAUCACGCAGAACUCUGAUUGCGAAGGCAGCAUACCGGCGCCCGACUGACGCUGAGGCACGAAAGCGUGGGGAUCGAACAGGAUUAGAUACCCGGGUAGUC